AGAUUUCAAGGCAUAUCCAACAAUUCUCCACUUUGCCUCUAAAUCGAUGGUGAUCCCAUCAACCACCGUGCUGCUCUCUCCAUCUUGAAUCUUCUAUUCAAGAUCACCGGAUUGUACCUCCUUCUUCAUCCUCAGAAUGCCUUCCGCUCUCAUGAAGAUCUUGCAUCCCACUACCAUAGGAUUUUAGGUAGCCCCACAAGAUUCACCGCACCCUCUUCAGAUUCCGAAGUGGUCAACUCUGUACCUCCCUGAAGA
rnacentral:lncRNA from 1 species